rnacentral:rRNA from 1 species
CGUAAUAGCUCACUGGUCGAGAGGUCCUGCGCCGAAAAUGUACCGGGGCUGAAACAUGACACCGAAGCUGAGGAACCGAAAGGUUGGUAGAGGAGCAUUCGUAAAGGGAAGAAGCUGUACCGGAAGGAGCAGUGGACGUUUACGAAGAGAGAAUGCCGGAAUGAGUAGCGAGAUGGAGGUGGGAAUCCUCCAGGCCGAAUAUCCAAGGUUUCCAGGGUAAAGCUGAUCUGCCCUGGGUAAGUCGGGGCCUAAGGCGAGGUCGAAGGACGUAGCCGAUGGACAACAGGUUGAAAUUCCUGUACUGCAUGAUGACAGAACUGUGGGGACACGGGCAGAAAGCCUGGGCCGGAAAUGGAAAAGCCGGUGCAAGCGGAGGAGCCGUGUAGGAGGAAAAACCCCUAUGCAAGGCAGAGCCGUGACGCGGAGCGAAAUAAAAGUAGCGAAGCAGGCGGGCUGGCCGUCAAGAAAAGCCGCUAUUGUUCAUCAUGUGCCCGUACCGCAAACCGACACAGGUGGAUGAGGAGAGAAUCCUAAGGCCGGCGGAAGAAGUAUUGUUAAGGAACUCGGCAAAAUGACCCCGUAACUUCGGGAGAAGGGGUGCCAGGGAAACCUGGCCGCAGAGAACUGGUCCAAGCAACUGUUUAACAAAAACACAGGUUUAUGCAAAACCGCAAGGUGAAGUAUAUGAGCUGACGCCUGCCCGGUGCUGGAAGGUUAAGAGGAGAGGUUAGCGCAAGCGAAGCUUUGAAUCCAAGCCCCAGUAAACGGCGGCCGUAACUAUAACGGUCCUAAGGUAGCGAAAUUCCUUGUCGGGUAAGUUCCGACCCGCACGAAAGGCGUAAUGAUUUGGACGCUGUCUCGACAAUACAUCCGGUGAAAUUGAAGUACCAGUGAAGAUGCUGGUUACCCGCGCCAGGACGGAAAGACCCCAUGGAGCUUUACUCCAGUCUGAUACUGGGAUUCGGUGCUGCAUGUACAGGAUAGGUGGGAGGCUGAGAAUUAAGGACGCCAGUCUUUAAGGAGCCGGUGUUGGGAUACCACCCCUGCAGUAUUGGAUUUCUAACCUGCGGCCGUAAUCCGGCCGGGGGACAAUGUCAGACGGGGAGUUUGACUGGGGCGGUCGC